AUUGAACGCUAGCGGCAUGCCUUACACAUGCAAGUCGAACGGAGUGGCGAACGGGUGAGUAAUGUAUCGGAACCUGCCUAGUAGAGGGGGAUAACUACGCGAAAGCGUAGCUAAUACCGCAUACUAUUGGAGCGGCCGAUGUCGGAUUAGCUAGUUGGUGGGGUAAAGGCUGACCUAGGCGACGAUCCCUAGCUGGUCUGAGAGGAUGAUCAGUCACACUGGAACUGAGACACGGUCCAGACUCCUACGGGAGGCAGCAGGGGGGAAUAUUGGACAAUGGGCGCAAGCCUGAUGCAGCCAUGCCGCGUGUAUGAAGAAGGUCUUCGGAUUGUAAAGUACUUUAAGCUGGGAGGCGUUACCCACAGAAGAAGCACCGGCUAACUCCGUGCCAGCAGCCGCGGUAAUAC
rnacentral:rRNA from 1 species